UUAAAAAAUACAUGCUUUAGGUUGGCAAUCAUUUUAACAGUUAUUUCAUGUGCUUGACUUACAGUAACAUAAAAGCACAUCUGACAUGGAGGCUUUCUUGCAGAAGAAGUUUCAGCCAACUGUAACUUACAGAUUGCUAAUAAUACACGAUGGCUGCAGUAAGGGCUUUGGCACGGUGCAGCUCUGACCCCCCUGCUCUGCCUGCACAGGCACGAGCUGAGCUUCAGCUGUGAAACUCUUCCUGCUCCAUGGGGGAUGCACUCUGGCCUCCUCCUGAAGGGUGCAAUCACCUCCUGAUGGGUCAUCAUCCCUCAUACUUCUACUUUCAGGCUCUUUUAAGAUCUUAAGUCAUACUCCUCUAUGCCCUCUGUCUCUUUGAAUCUAUUGCUGAUUCACAAACCCUCCUUAAUGCUCAGUUCUUCAUUUUGCAGGGGUUUUUUUGGCAUGGUAUGUUAUCUGCAGUACAUCAAGCUAUUUGCUGGCAGAAAAGCACCUUGGAUAUCUGGUUAAUGUCUUUUUUUAAUUAUUAUUAUUUUUUAAAUUUUUUUUUCUUUUUUUUCCUGCAGAAAUUUUAAUUCAUCUUUGUGAAACACUAAAUUGCACGAGCUCUUCCCAGGACAGCUGGGCAUGGAGCAGAACAGGGAGCAAACCCAUCACUCCAAGCAGACUUCUAAGAAAGGACUGAAGGGAUGGAAAAUGUGCAAGGGAAUGCGUGAGGUGCUGGAUGGUGAAUUCCCACCACUGGAGUACAGAGAAGAUCAUGACUGAAUCACACAUGGAGCAAGUUUAUUCUCAGUCAUCAGAAUGGCAGAGUGGGAGAGAAGCAAGUGGCUGAAUUCCAAGAAAGCCAUGGAGGGCAAGAGAAGGUUCAAACGACUUGUUUUUAAGUCAUCCUGGAUCCAGAAGAUGAUGUGGGGUUACCACAGCUACAGCUACACCAGAAAGACAAGGCCACAUGCUGGAAUGGAAUUACUGGCAAGCAUGUCACUAAUUACCUGGGGAGUCACAGGGCCUUCUGCAAAACAGACUGGAGAGACACUCCAAGUCCAAGCAAGUGUCAGUUCUGAACAAAGGAACUUGCAAGAAGCUUUUCCUCUGGACACACACAUAAUCCUUCUGGAUUUUUGGGGAGGGAGGGGAGAAUACACAUCACCUAACAAGUUUCAGGGAAGUUUCAGGGAAGUUUCAGGGAAGUUUCAGGGAAGUUUCAGGGAAGUUUCAGGGAAGUUUCAGGGAAGUUUCAGGGAAGUUUCAGGGAAGUUUCAGGGAAGUUUCAGGGAAGUUUCAGGGAAGUUUCAGGGAAGUUUCAGGGAAGUUUCAGGGAAGUUUCAGGGAAGUUUCAGGGAAGUUUCAGGGAAGUUUCAGGGAAGUUUCAGGGAAGUUUCAGGGAAGGGAAGGGAAGGGAAGGGAAGGGAAGGGAGACAUUUCCCCAACAGUCUAUUAGGAGCCAUUUCCUUGAUUAUGUACAGAUGGUAG
rnacentral:lncRNA from 1 species